CACGUAGGGGGCGAGCGUUGUCCGGAUUUAUUGGGCGUAAAGAGCUCGUAGGCGGCUCGGUAAGUCAGGUGUGAAAACUCUAGGCUCAACCUAGAGACGCCACCUGAUACUGCUGUGGCUAGAGUCCGGUAGGGGAGCAUGGAAUUCCUGGUGAUAGCGGUGAAAUGCGUAGAGAUGUGGAGGAACACCGAUGGCGCAAGGCAGCCCCCUGGGCCAAUACUGACGCUCAUGCACGAAAGGCGUGGGGAGCAAACAGG
rnacentral:rRNA from 1 species